rnacentral:rRNA from 1 species
ACAGAGGUCCCGAGCGUUGUUCGGAUUCACUGGGCGUAAAGGGUGCGUAGGUGGUGAGGUAAGUCGGAUGUGAAAUCUCCAAGCUCAACUUGGAAAUGGCAUUGGAAACUACCUUGCUGGAGGUUUGGAGGGGGGACUGGAAUUCUCGGUGUAGCAGUGAAAUGCGUAGAUAUCGAGAGGAACACCAGUGGCGAAAGCGAUCUGCUGGCCCGCCCUUGACGCUCAGGCGCGAAAGCUAGGGGAGCGACCGGGA